GUCCUUGACCAGCAGCCGGCGGAUGAAGUCCUUGGCCAACUCGCUGGUGCUGCUGAAGUACUCCUCAUCGAAGUCGUAGUUGACGGCGGAGAUGUUGGUGAGGGUCUCCUGCUUCGUUUCCCCCAGGAAGGGGGACGCCCCGCUCAGCAGGAUGUAAGUGAUGACCCCAAUGCUCCACAUGUCGGCCUCCAGCCCCAGCGGCUCGUAGUUCACGAUUUCUG
rnacentral:lncRNA from 1 species